AUUCACUGUUAAAAUAAAAUAAAAGUGGUUCAAGUUAUAAAAGAACUAACCAGUGUAGAAAAUUCACUUUCAAAAAGAAAACAUAAAAAUGGUUGUACAGUUAAAGUGGAAUGAACUGAUAUUUUUAUAGAAACAGAACAAAACUACUAAAGGGAAACGAGGUGAAGAGCUGUAUGACAGAUGAAUCCGUCACUUGUCUUGUGGAAAACAUGCUUUUCUUAUGGUUAAGAAGUGGUAUAUCAUCUUCAUGUUCUUUCAUAAUUGAAGCACCAUCAUUGUGUAUCAUGUAGAAAAACUGCCGACAUUCAUAGGAAAUGUCAGUCACAAAAUCUGAAAUAUAGGGUAAAGGAGCCUCACUGCAACUUCUGAUAAGACUAUCAGAGAGGAUAAUAUACAAUCAGAGAGGGUAAAACAUAAAGAACGGACUAUCUGUGAUUUCAAGAUAGUGAAAAUUCACACAAGAAUAUCUAUAUACUUAUUUACCUUAUGAGUCUAUACCCAACAGAAAAAUAAAAGUGCUAGUAGAUAGUGGGAUAAAUUUAAAGGAUAAUAUAAUAUUAACUCAAAAAUUAGGUGAACUAUGUUCUAAAACAAAUUGCAGCACCAUCAGGGUUAACAUAAACAUAUGUCAUCAAACAAAUAUACACUCUUCAGUUUUUAGAGCAACAUGACCAAGAAGCAAUUGUAGGAUAGUAUUGAAAAGGAAUAUGCACUCCUAAGGAAAAUGACAUGGGGAUGGACACAGGA